AUUUUGAGGUUGAUCUGUAAAUAGUAAACAAUAAUAAUUUGAUUUUAAUUGAAACUUUCUUUACCUAUAAAAUUUAAUAUAAUUUUUUUUGUGUUGUGAAUUUUGAGAAUAGAAAGCGAAUCAAGAAUUGAAAGUUCUGCUUAGUUCGAAACGUUGUAGUAGAGAAUAAAGAAUGAAGUUAAAGCAACAUAAUCAGGUUAAUUGAACUUUGUGCCUUUACUAUUUAAAAAAAAGAAAAACGUUAAAAAAAAUGAAAUAAAAAAGAAAAAAAAUCUGGUUAUAUUGGUCAAAAUUGUCUGUACAGUAUUCGAAUGAACUAAGCAGAACAUUUUCCUUUUAUGCAACAAAAUAAGAAGAAGAAAUAAAAAAAAAGUUAAAGUAAGGGUGAAAAUGAUCAUCAUCGUCGAGUUGGUCUUUUUCGAUGUCUCUAUAGUUAUUAAAAAAAAUGGAAAUUGUUAAUUUCUUUAUUAUUUAAUUUUUCGAUCCUCUUUAGUUCUUCCUUUCGAUCCGUUUAAAUUCCCCUUUGUCUUAAAUCAUUAUUUUUUUUAACGUAGUUUUUCGCGUCGUCUUUAUUUUUCGAGGUAUCCGCGUCGUAGUUUCGUAUAUAUAGGUAUUAAAUGUAACGACGUAAUUUCUUAUAAUGAAAAUACAAUUUCAAAUCAAAUUUUUUAUUGAUUUUUAUUUUAUUUAUAGAUACUUUAAUCAUUUAUUUAUGUAGGUGUUUAGGAAACGUCAAAGAUGGCAGCGAAAACCUCUUUAACUAAGAUGUAUUGUAGUUUAGACGAAGAAGAGGCUUAUUAUUUCUGCUACUGAACAAAUAUGAGUUCAGCGUUUUUCGUCGAUAAAUAUUGAAUCAUAGAAAUUAGUAAGCUCACCAACAAGAUAAGUGAAUAAAUAAACAACUUUGUAGUUUAUAUAGUACACAUUUCGAGGUUGGGAGGGACACCGAAACUUUAUCGAAUAUACUUCGGGGAAUCCCAUAGCCAUCCAAGGUCGCUUGAAGGUCACAACUCAAGUUAACUCUUGAUUAUUUAGGCGCAAGAGAAUAAAUGCAUCAAAUUGAUUGAGGAAAUACGUUGAUAAUGAGAAGUUUGUAUUUGUAUCCAUUUUAGUAAUUAAGUUCAUAUUUUAUCAAUAAACUUACUGAUUAUUACUUA